GAUGAACGCUAGCGGCAGGCCUAACACAUGCAAGUCGAGGGGCAGCGGGGAGCGAAGCUUGCUUUGCUCCGCCGGCGACCGGCGCACGGGUGAGUAACGCGUAUGCAACCUGCCCGUUUCAGCGGGAUAACCCGGAGAAAUCCGGCCUAAUACCGCAUGUGGCCGAGGGAAGGCAUCUUCUUUCGGCCAAAGGAGGCGACUCCGGAGACGGAUGGGCAUGCGUGACAUUAGCUUGUUGGCGGGGUAACGGCCCACCAAGGCGACGAUGUCUAGGGGUUCUGAGAGGAAGGUCCCCCACACUGGUACUGAGACACGGACCAG
rnacentral:rRNA from 1 species